GCUAACACCCUCAGUCAGAGAACUAGGAAAAGCAUAAAAAGUUACCGAUGCAAAAAAACUUUGAAUAUUUGAGGUUGUGAGCACUUCUUGAGCUGAAGAACCUUCAAAAUGCACCGUUUCCAUCCAUCUCCAGAUUUCGCCGCUCUGUGGGAAGGUGACCAAGGCUCUCCAUCCAUUCAGAAACUACCUGGCUGGCAAGGGACAGCACUGCAAGAACACUGGGCAGACACAUGGCCAUGAUGGCCUUCAGAAGGACCUCAGCAGGCUGGAGAGGUGGGCAGGAGGGAACCUCACAAAGCUCAGCAAGUGAAAAUGCAAAGUCCUGCCCCUGGGGAGGAAUCACCCCAUGCACCAGUACGUACUGGGGGCCAACCAGCAGGAAAGAAACUUUCCGUGGAGCCCUGGGGCUGCUGAUGGACCUGGCUGG